rnacentral:rRNA from 1 species
GACGAACGCUGGCGACGUGCCUAAUACAUGCAAGUCGAACGCAGUGGGGACGGGUGAGUAACACGUGGGUAACCUCCCAUCAGAGGGGAUAACACUUGGAAACAGGUGCUAAACCGAUAUUGGUGGAUGGACCCGCGGGGCAUUAGCUAGUGGGAGGGGUAACGGCUCACCAAGGCCACGAUGCAUAGCCGACAGUAGAGGGUGAUCAGCCACACUGGGACUGAGACACGGCCCAGACUCCUACGGUAGGCAGCAGUAGGGAAGCUUCGGCAAUGGACGAAAGUCUGACCGAGCAACGCCGCGUGAGUGAAGAAGGUUUUCGGAUCGUAAAACUCUGUUGUUAGAGAAGCGUUAUCUAACGAGAAAGCCACGGCUAACUACGUGCCAGCAGCCGCGGUAAUAC